CAAAUAUUAUGACUCAAUCGCCGCAACUGGCAGACUACUAUCGAUUUGAAAAAUUAGGAGACAUUAUCAUUAGAAAUCAUUUUGAGAUCAAUAUAUCGUUUUUGGGAAAAUCAGAUGCACAAAUAUACAUAUGUUCACACCGGAAAAUUAAAAAGGGCGAAUGCCUCAUUUUUAUAUUUGGUGGCUGGAAUGGAAGGGCAAGUGUUAUAAAAAAGUGUAAAGAAGGAGCAUCGCCCACCAACUUCAAAGAUAGUUUGGAUAAAUGUGAAGAUAUUGGAAAUAAGAUUGAGCAUAAUCCAAUGUUUUCAAACGAUGAAUGGAGUCAAAUUUCUAUUCAAAAUAAAAAUCGACGGUUAAAAGUAAUAAUCGAUGAUGUAGACUUAUUAUCAUAUCAUACAAAAUAUGAUAAAGGAUUCAACAAUUUUACGAAAAUAUUUGUACAUUCAAGAAGACAAAAUACGUUGUGGAAAUAUCAUGAAUAUAAAUAUUACAAAGCUCGGAAACGCAACACUGGAAUCAUUAAUAGCAAUUGGUUCUAUGUGGAUUCAAAUACUUUACAUAUUUCGUUGCUGGCAAAUUUUGCGAAUAAUAUUACAUUACAACUGUAUGAUGUGUCGAAAGAACUCAUUAAAACUGAAUCCUAUAAGAGUGAUCAAAACACACAAUGGAAUUAUAUAACUUUUAUUUCUGAUGUAUAUGAAAGUGCUGAAUAUUAUUUACGCAUUUCAUUUAAUCCUAAUGAUAAAAUGGCACUCAGAAAUGUUGUUAGUCAUUUAGACUACAAUCAAAGUAAAUGGAACAAUUUCCAUUUCUCAUCAGUUGAGUACCCAUUGGAAUCAAAAAAUUAAAUUAAGUGUUCAUUCCUUAAACACAAAACUACUGAGCUUGCAAUUAAA